rnacentral:rRNA from 2 species
GACGUAGGGCGCGAGCGUUGUCCGGAUUUAUUGGGCGUAAAGAGCUCGUAGGCGGCUUGUUGCGUCGUUCGUGAAAUCCCGUGGCUCAACUGCGGGCUUGCGGACGAUACGGGCAGGCUAGAAUUCGGUAGGGGAGACUGGAAUUCCUGGUGUAGCGGUGAAAUGCGCAGAUAUCAGGAGGAACACCGGUGGCGAAGGCGGGUCUCUGGGCCGAUAUUGACGCUGAGGAGCGAAAGCGUGGGGAGCGAACAGG